rnacentral:rRNA from 1 species
UACGUAGGGUGCAAGCGUUGUCCGGAAUUAUUGGGCGUAAAGAGCUCGUAGGCGGUUUGUCGCGUCUGCUGUGAAAACGCGAGGCUCAACCUCGCGCCUGCAGUGGGUACGGGCAGACUAGAGUGCGGUAGGGGAGAUUGGAAUUCCUGGUGUAGCGGUGAAAUGCGCAGAUAUCAGGAGGAACACCGGUGGCGAAGGCGGGUCUCUGGGCCGAUACUGACGCUGAGGAGCGAAAGCGUGGGGAGCGAACAGG